CCUACGGGAGGCAGCAGUGGGGAAUUUUGGACAAUGGGCGCAAGCCUGAUCCAGCCAUGCCGCGUGUGGGAAGAAGGCCUUCGGGUUGUAAACCACUUUUGUCAGGGAAGAAACGGCUUUUUCUAAUACAGAGAGCUAAUGACGGUACCUGAAGAAUAAGCACCGGCUAACUACGUGCCAGCAGCCGCGGUAAUACGUAGGGUGCAAGCGUUAAUCGGAAUUACUGGGCGUAAAGCGUGCGCAGGCGGCUUUGCAAGACAGAUGUGAAAUCCCCGGGCUCAACCUGGGAACUGCAUUUGUGACUGCAUGGCUAGAGUACGGUAGAGGGGGAUGGAAUUCCGCGUGUAGCAGUGAAAUGCGUAGAUAUGCGGAGGAACACCGAUGGCGAAGGCAAUCCCCUGGACCUGUACUGACGCUCAUGCACGAAAGCGUGGGGAGCAAACAGGAUUAGAUACCCUGGUAGUCCACGCCCUAAACGAUGUCAACUGGUUGUUGGACGGCUUGCUGUUCAGUACGAAGCUAACGCGUGAAGUUGACCGCCUGGGGAGUACGGCCGCAAGGUUGAAACUUAAAGGAAUUGACGGCUGAGACCGNGCGAGAGACGACGAGGGAGGAGG
rnacentral:rRNA from 1 species